rnacentral:rRNA from 1 species
CAAUAAGCGGAGGAAAAGAAACCAACAGGGAUUGCCCUAGUAACGGCGAGUGAAGCGGCAACAGCUCAAAUUUGAAAUCUGGCUUUCGGGCCCGAAUUGUAAUUUGCAGAGGAUGCUUUUGGCGCGGUGCCUUCCGAGUUCCCUGGAACUGGACGCCUUAGAGGGUGAGAGCCCCGUACGGUUGGACACCAAGCCUCUGUAAAGCUCCUUCGACGAGUCGAGUAGUUUGGGAAUGCUGCUCUAAAUGGGAGGUAAAUUUCUUCUAAAGCUAAAUACCGGCCAGAGACCGAUAGCGCACAAGUAGAGUGAUCGAAAGAUGAAAAGCACUUUGAAAAGAGGGUUAAAUAGCACGUGAAAUUGUUGAAAGGGAAGCGUUUACGGCCAGACCUUUUCCUGGUGGAUCAUCCGGUGUUCUCACCGGUGCACUUCGCUAGGUUUAGGCCAGCAUCGGCUUCCGCAGGGGGAUAAAAGCAGUGGGAAAGUAGCUCCUUCGGGAGUGUUAUAGCCCUAAGCAUAAUACCCUUGCGGGGGCCGAGGACCGCGCUUUUGCAAGGAUGCUGGCGUAAUGGUCGUCAACGACCCGUCUUGAAACACGGACCAAGGAGUCGAACAUUUGUGCGAGUGUUUGGGUGUUAAACCCUCACGCGUAAUGAAAGUGAACGGAGGUGAGAGCCCUUUAGGGUGCAUCAUCGACCGAUCCUGAUGUCUUCGGAUGGAUUUGAGUAAGAGCAUAACUGUUCGGACCCGAAAGAUGGUGAACUAUGCGUGGAUAGGGUGAAGCCAGAGGAAACUCUGGUGGAGGCUCGCAGCGGUUCUGACGUGCAAAUCGAUCGUCAAAUCUGCGCAUGGGGGCGAAAGACUUAUCGAACCAUCUAGUA